rnacentral:tRNA from 1 species
GGAAGGCAUUCGUAUCCGGUGGUGCGGCUGGGCUUCAAAUCCAGUUGGUGCGGUCAGCCCGCGCCAGGUCGGUUCGACUCCGGCUGCCUUCCGCCA